GAUGAACGCUGGCGGCGUGCUUAACACAUGCAAGUCGAACGAAGCACUUUAUUUGAUUUCCUUCGGGACUGAUUAUUUUGUGACUGAGUGGCGGACGGGUGAGUAACGCGUGGGUAACCUGCCUUGUACAGGGGGAUAACAGUUGGAAACGGCUGCUAAUACCGCAUAAGCGCACAGCAUCGCAUGAUGCAGUGUGAAAAACUCCGGUGGUAUAAGAUGGACCCGCGUUGGAUUAGCUAGUUGGUGAGGUAACGGCCCACCAAGGCGACGAUCCAUAGCCGACCUGCUAGGGUGACCGGCCACAUUGGGACUGAGACACGGCCCAAACUCCUACGGGAGGCAGCAGUGGGGAAUAUUGCACAAUGGGCGAAAGCCUGAUGCAGCGACGCCGUGUGAGCGAAGAAGUAUUUCGGUAUGUAAAGCUCUAUCAGCAGGGAAGAUAAUGACGUUACCUGACUAAGAAGCACCGGCUAAAUACGU
rnacentral:rRNA from 1 species